rnacentral:rRNA from 1 species
AUUGAACGCUGGCGGCAUGCCUUACACAUGCAAGUCGAACGGUAACAGGUCUUCGGAUGCUGACGAGUGGCGAACGGGUGAGUAAUACAUCGGAACGUGCCCGAGAGUGGGGGAUAACGUGGCGAAAGCUUUGCUAAUACCGCAUACGAUCUCAGGAUGAAAGCAGGGGACCGCAAGGCCUUGCGCUCACGGAGCGGCCGAUGGCAGAUUAGGUAGUUGGUGGGAUAAAAGCUUACCAAGCCGACGAUCUGUAGCUGGUCUGAGAGGACGACCAGCCACACUGGGACUGAGACACGGCCCAGACUCCUACGGGAGGCAGCAGUGGGGAAUUUUGGACAAUGGGCGCAAGCCUGAUCCAGCCAUGCCGCGUGCAGGAUGAAGGCCUACGGGUUGUAAACUGCUUUUGUACGGAACGAAAAGACUCUGGUUAAUACCUGGGGUCCAUGACGGUACCGUAAGAAUAAGCACCGGCUAACUACGUGCCAGCCGCCGCAGUAAAAC